rnacentral:rRNA from 1 species
AAAUUGAAGAGUUUGAUCAUGGCUCAGAUUGAACGCUGGCGGCAGGCCUAACACAUGCAAGUCGAACGGUAACAGGAAGCAGCUUGCUGCUUCGCUGACGAGUGGCGGACGGGUGAGUAAUGUCUGGGAAACUGCCUGAUGGAGGGGGAUAACUACUGGAAACGGUGGCUAAUACCGCAUAACGUCGCAAGACCAAAGAGGGGGACCUUCGGGCCUCUUGCCAUCAGAUGUGCCCAGAUGGGAUUAGCUUGUUGGUGAGGUAACGGCUCACCAAGGCGACGAUCCCUAGCUGGUCUGAGAGGAUGACCAGCCACACUGGAACUGAGACACGGUCCAGACUCCUACGGGAGGCAGCAGUGGGGAAUAUUGCACAAUGGGCGCAAGCCUGAUGCAGCCAUGCCGCGUGUAUGAAGAAGGCCUUCGGGUUGUAAAGUACUUUCAGCGGGGAGGAAGGUGUUGUGGUUAAUAACCGCAGCAAUUGACGUUACCCGCAGAAGAAGCACCGGCUAACUCCGUGCCAGCAGCCGCGGUAAUACGGAGGGUGCAAGCGUUAAUCGGAAUUACUGGGCGUAAAGCGCACGCAGGCGGUCUGUCAAGUCGGAUGUGAAAUCCCCGGGCUCAACCUGGGAACUGCAUUCGAAACUGGCAGGCUUGAGUCUUGUAGAGGGGGGUAGAAUUCCAGGUGUAGCGGUGAAAUGCGUAGAGAUCUGGAGGAAUACCGGUGGCGAAGGCGGCCCCCUGGACAAAGACUGACGCUCAGGUGCGAAAGCGUGGGGAGCAAACAGGAUUAGAUACCCUGGUAGUCCACGCCGUAAACGAUGUCUACUUGGAGGUUGUGCCCUUGAGGCGUGGCUUCCGGAGCUAACGCGUUAAGUAGACCGCCUGGGGAGUACGGCCGCAAGGUUAAAACUCAAAUGAAUUGACGGGGGCCCGCACAAGCGGUGGAGCAUGUGGUUUAAUUCGAUGCAACGCGAAGAACCUUACCUGGUCUUGACAUCCACGGAAGAAUUCAGAGAUGGAUUUGUGCCUUCGGGAACCGUGAGACAGGUGCUGCAUGGCUGUCGUCAGCUCGUGUUGUGAAAUGUUGGGUUAAGUCCCGCAACGAGCGCAACCCUUAUCCUUUGUUGCCAGCGGUUAGGCCGGGAACUCAAAGGAGACUGCCAGUGAUAAACUGGAGGAAGGUGGGGAUGACGUCAAGUCAUCAUGGCCCUUACGACCAGGGCUACACACGUGCUACAAUGGCGCAUACAAAGAGAAGCGACCUCGCGAGAGCAAGCGGACCUCAUAAAGUGCGUCGUAGUCCGGAUUGGAGUCUGCAACUCGACUCCAUGAAGUCGGAAUCGCUAGUAAUCGUGGAUCAGAAUGCCACGGUGAAUACGUUCCCGGGCCUUGUACACACCGCCCGUCACACCAUGGGAGUGGGUUGCAAAAGAAGUAGGUAGCUUAACCUUCGGGAGGGCGCUUACCACUUUGUGAUUCAUGACUGGGGUGAAGUCGUAACAAGGUAACCGUAGGGGAACCUGCGGUUGGAUCACCUCCUUA